UACGUAGGGGGCAAGCGUUGUCCGGAAUCAUUGGGCGUAAAGAGCGUGUAGGCGGCUCGGUAAGUCCGCUGUGGAAGUCCGGGGCUCAACCCUGGAAUGCCGGUGGAAACUGUCGAGCUAGAGUCCGGAAGAGGCGAGUGGAAUUCCUGGUGUAGCGGUGAAAUGCGCAGAUAUCAGGAGGAACACCAAUGGCGAAGGCAGCUCGCUGGGACGGUACUGACGCUGAGACGCGAAAGCGUGGGGAGCAAACAGG
rnacentral:rRNA from 1 species